rnacentral:lncRNA from 1 species
AUUUUGCCUAAGUUAGUUAGCGACAGUUUCUGCUUCUUAAAAAAAGUGACCCAGUGGAUGACCUCAAUAUGCAUAUAUGAGACAACUUCUGUCUAUGGGUUCUUCCUCAAAUUACUAGACUUAUCAUCCUGGUAAUGUUUUUUCUCCAACAGAAAAACAAUAAGUGUGUGCAAUUUUCAAGAAUAAAGUGAGAUUUAGAAAACUAGUGGUUUAUCCAUAUGUAAUGGAGUCUGCACAUGUCAGUUGGUGAUUUUUUUCAGUUUUUCCUUGUUUCUCAAGACCUUUGCACUUUUAAAGAGUACUGAUCAAGUAUUCUGUAGAAUAUAUCUCAAUUCGGAUUUGAUGUUUUCUCAUGAUUAGACUGGGAUUAUGGAUUUUUGAGGAAGAAUGCCACUGAGGUGAAGUGCCUUCUCAUCAAAUUAUCUUAGGGUACACAAAAUGUUAACCUAACUUAUUACUGGUAGUGUUUAACUUGGUCAAGGUACUGUUUGCCAGCUGUCUUUACUGUAUUGUUAGUUAUACUAUUUUUCCCUCUCUAUACUCUAUUUCUUGAAAACAAGUCACUGAGUCUGGCUCACGGGAGAACUACCAACUAGGAUGACACAUUUAUUUCUGUUAAAUAAUUCUAAAGCAGACAAUUGAAGCCCUUAUGAAUUAAGCCAAAAUUUUAUAUUUGAGCGUAUGUAUACAGUUAUUUUAGAUGUAUUUUCUGGAAAGAGAACAACUAAACGAAGUAGUUUCUUGAUCUGUGUGUUUCAAUAGGAAAAGGCAAAGUUUUCCAC